rnacentral:rRNA from 1 species
UACAGAGGUGGCAAGCGUUGUUCGGAAUUACUGGGCGUAAAGGGCGCGUAGGCGGCCUUCUAAGUCAGACGUGAAAUCCCCCGGCUUAACCUGGGAACUGCGUCUGAUACUGGGAGGCUUGAGUAUGGGAGAGGGAUGUAGAAUUCCAGGUGUAGCGGUGAAAUGCGUAGAUAUCUGGAGGAAUACCGGUGGCGAAGGCGGCAUCCUGGACCAUAACUGACGCUGAGGCGCGAAGGCCAGGGGAGCAAACGGG